AGGACGAACGCUGGCGGCGUGCCUAACACAUGCAAGUCGAGCGGAGAUAUAUUGAAGGUUUACCGGAUACAUAUCUUAGCGGCGGACGGGUGAGUAACGCGUGGGCAACCUGCCUUAUACAGGGGGAUAACACAGGGAAACUUGUGCUAAUACCGCAUAAUAUCAUUGUAUGGCAUCAUACGAUGAUCAAAGGAGCAAUCCGGUAUGAGAUGGGCCCGCGUCCGAUUAGCUAGUUGGUGGGGUAACAGCUCACCAAGGCGACGAUCGGUAGCCGAACUGAGAGGUUGAUCGGCCACAUUGGGACUGAGACACGGCCCAGACUCCUACGGGAGGCAGCAGUGGGGAAUAUUGCGCAAAAUGGGGGAAACCCUGACGCAGCAACGCCGCGUGAAGGAUGGAGGCCUUCGGGUUGUAAACUUCUUUGAUUGGGGAAGAAGAAAGUGACUGUACCCAAAAAACAAGCCACGGCUAACUACGUGCCAGCCGCCGC
rnacentral:rRNA from 1 species